GAGCUUGAAUGUUGCGUGCGUGUCGUGC
rnacentral:sRNA from 1 species